UACGAAGGUGGCAAGCGUUGUUCGGAUUUACUGGGCGUACAGGGAGCGUAGGCGGUUGGAUAAGCCCUCCGUGAAAUCCCCAGGCUCAACCUGGGAACUGCGUCUGAUACUGGAUGGCUUGAAUCCGGGAGAGGGAUGCAGAAUUCCAGGUGUAGCGGUGAAAUGCGUAGAUAUCUGGAGGAAUACCGGUGGCGAAGGCGGCAUCCUGGACCGGCAUUGACGCUGAGGAGCGAAAGCUAGGGGAGCAAACGGG
rnacentral:rRNA from 1 species